rnacentral:piRNA from 1 species
UGUGCUGAGUGCCAGGACUUACUGCC